UACGGGGGGGGCAAGCGUUGUUCGGAAUUACUGGGCGUAAAGGGCUCGUAGGCGGCCAACUAAGUCGGACGUGAAAUCCCCAGGCUCAACCUGGGAACUGCGUCCGAUACUGGAUGGCUUGAAUCCGGGAGAGGGAUGCAGAAUUCCAGGUGUAGCGGUGAAAUGCGUAGAUAUCUGGAGGAACACCGGUGGCGAAGGCGGCAUCCUGGACCAAUAUUGACGCUGAGGAGCGAAAGCCAGGGGAGCAAACAGG
rnacentral:rRNA from 1 species